GUGCUCACUUCGGCAGCACAUAUACUAAAAUUGAAACAAUACAGAGAAGACUAGCAUGGCCCCUAUGCAAGGAUGACACGCAAGUAAUAAUAAAAUAAAAUAAUAAA